GACGAACGCUGGCGGCGUGCCUAAUACAUGCAAGUAGAACGCUGAAGAGAGGAGCUUGCUCUUCUUGGAUGAGUUGUGAACGGGUGAGUAACGCGUAGGUAACCUGCCUUGUAGCGGGGGAUAACUAUUGGAAACGAUAGCUAAUACCGCAUAACAAUGGAUGACACAUGUCAUUUAUUUGAAAGGGGCAAUUGCUCCACUACAAGAUGGACCUGCGUUGUAUUAGCUAGUAGGUGAGGUAACGGCUCACCUAGGCGACGAUACAUAGCCGACCUGAGAGGGUGAUCGGCCACACUGGGACUGAGACACGGCCCAGACUCCUACGGGAGGCAGCAGUAGGGAAUCUUCGGCAAUGGGGGCAACCCUGACCGAGCAACGCCGCGUGAGUGAAGAAGGUUUUCGGAUCGUAAAGCUCUGUUGUAAGUCAAGAACGAGUGUGAGAGUGGAAAGUUCACACUGUGACGGUAGCUUACCAGAAAGGGACGGCUAACUACGUG
rnacentral:rRNA from 1 species